AAGUCGUAACAAGGUCUCCGUUGGUGAACCAGCGGAGGGAUCAUUGCUGGAACGCGCCCCGGCGCACCCAGAAACCCUUUGUGAACUUAUACCUACUGUUGCCUCGGCGCAGGCCGGCCUUUGUCAAAAAAGGCCCCCUGGAGACAGGGAGCAGCCCGCCGGCGGCCAACCAAACUCUUGUUUCUACAGUGAAUCUCUGAGGAAAAAACAUAAAUGAAUCAAAACUUUCAACAACGGAUCUCUUGGUUCUG
rnacentral:misc_RNA from 1 species